rnacentral:rRNA from 1 species
ACGAACGCUGGCGGCGUGCUUAACACAUGCAAGUCGAACGGAAAGGCCCUGCCUUUGUGGGGUGCUCGAGUGGCGAACGGGUGAGUAACACGUGAGUAACCUGCCCUUGACUUUGGGAUAACUUCAGGAAACUGGGGCUAAUACCGGAUAGGAGCUCCUGCUGCAUGGUGGGGGUUGGAAAGUUUCGGCGGUUGGGGAUGGACUCGCGGCUUAUCAGCUUGUUGGUGGGGUAGUGGCUUACCAAGGCUUUGACGGGUAGCCGGCCUGAGAGGGUGACCGGCCACAUUGGGACUGAGAUACGGCCCAGACUCCUACGGGAGGCAGCAGUGGGGAAUAUUGCACAAUGGGCGGAAGCCUGAUGCAGCAACGCCGCGUGCGGGAUGACGGCCUUCGGGUUGUAAACCGCUUUCGCCUGUGACGAAGCGUGAGUGACGGUAAUGGGUAAAGAAGUACCGGCUAACUACGUG